AGGAGAAGAGGGGGGGGGGGGGGUUGGGGGGUGGAGGAAGCCACUGUUCUUGCUCUCCCCUCUCCCCUCCUCUCUUCCCCUAUUUUCAGAGA
rnacentral:miRNA from 1 species